rnacentral:rRNA from 1 species
CAGUCGCCGCGGUAAUACGUAGGUGGGAAGCGUUGUCCGGAAUUAUUGGGCGUAAAGGGCUCGCAGGCGGUUUCUUAAGUCUGAUGUGAAAGCCCCCGGCUCAACCGGGGAGGGUCAUUGGAAACUGGGAAACUUGAGUGCAGAAGAGGAGAGUGGAAUUCCACGUGUAGCGGUGAAAUGCGUAGAGAUGUGGAGGAACACCAGUGGCGAAGGCGACUCUCUGGUCUGUAACUGACGCUGAGGAGCGAAAGCGUGGGGAGCGGACAGGAUUAGAUACCCGCGUAGUCCCUGUCUCUUAUAA